rnacentral:lncRNA from 1 species
AUGCACCAGUCCUGCAUCAAUAGCGGCGAGGAGGAGGUGAUGACAGUUGGUGACAGUCACGUAGCAAACGUCCCGGCCGCUGUGCCGAGGCUGGGGGGCCGGGUGAGUGAGGGGUCACCGUGUGCAAGGACGAACAUUACACGACUGCUUGGGGACAAUUCCUGCGGGAGAAGGGCCGGUGUUAGAGCGCGACCUUUACUCUUCCUUCCUCCUGCCCGCCUGCCCAAAAAAGCAAAAAAACCACAAACCUGGAAUUCCAGGCAAGUCGCACCGGUGCCUUGCCUUUCGCUCACGCCCAGCCAAAAGAUUCCUCUCAGGAGAAAAGAGGACAGCGAUGGAGAGAAAACUCGGAAUCGGAAUCCCCUUGAAGGGCAGCCGAAGGGAAAAGCGAUGACUGUGACCCUUCAUGGAACUGAUAAGCAAAGGUUGGAAAAGUUGAAACAGUUUCAGAACUCAAGCUUUCAAAACCAAUAGGUGGAAAAUCACCUAUGGACUGUGGUUGUGUCUGCAGCAUCUAACCUCCACAUACAGGUAAAAAUAUACCUGGACAUGCAUUGGCAUCCCAGGUGUGAUACAUACUCUCCGAUUUUUGAGAGCAAGGAGCACAGGUACAAAUGACACAGUGAAUACCUGGAGACCCGAGCACAGGACCAACAGGCAUGACCCUGACAUUCAUCUUCUUUAAGCAUUAAAUAUAAAUGCUUGAGCAGGACUUAAAAGUAAAGGGAGAUCUUCAGCAGGUGUGGAUAAAUGUUAGGAUAGCAGGAUUUCUUUGUGAUUUUUUUUCAUUGCCAACUGGAGUCUGGCACAGACUAUACUGGGGGAUCCCCAUAAACCAUAUACUGAUGGUUGAAAUUGUGUACUACAUAUACAAAUUCAGAAGGGAUUGUGUUUCAGAGGCAAGACCACAUGCUUUUCAUGAAGAGCUCACAAGUUUGAUUCCUUGUAUUUCUGUACAGAGUUAGGACAACCUCUUGCCUUAAAGUCUGACAAGCAGCUGCUAGUCAGUGUUAGAAAUACUAGGCUAGACUGACUAAUGCUGCAACUUUGUAAAAGGUGCUUCCUGUUUUCCUAAAUCUACACUGGAAUAAAUACAAACCAAGGAUGUUUUAAGGGCCUGAUGUAGCAAUUGGCAACCUAAGUCCCUCCAGAACUUUUGGGCUGACUCUG